CUGCCAUUUUUAUUAUAUCAUAUAAAGGAUAGAUACUAUCACAUGAUUUAUCAGUCUUGGUAUCGAUCUGAUCAUCUUGCUAAGAAGGAAGUUACUACGUGUAUUGCACACAUAAGAGUGGGAAGCUAUGCUCAUGAACUUGACGGUGGAAUGUCUGCACAAAUUCUUUGAAAUUCUUCUACAUGGGAGAUUUCUCUUCCCUCUAGACUGUUGUGCCCAAGAUUGCGAAUCUGAGAAACCACCA